UAAUAUUGAUUCGAACUAUUAUACUAUGUGCAAAAUGUUAGCAGAUGUCCAUAUCAAUACACAAUGUUAUCAGGAAUUCAAAAUCUUAGACACGAUAAGAAUACCAAUGUUCCUUUGAAAAAGCUUGGCUGCUGGAGCCAAACUUACGUAUCUUCUUCUGGAUGGACCUUCUCUCAAGUAUCUGGCUGCAGGUAACGAAGAUAUUCCCCUGAGGCUUCCAAGUCAAAUUCAAUCCUUGACACAUCUAAAAUUCACCAGUAUUAGAUAUGAUUUCAAGGAGAUUGCUUGCAUUCUUACUUUGGAGGUCCUGCAACUUGUCUAAGUUGGGAGUUUUGCUAAAAUUUAAGCAUGGCCCUUUCCUGUGGGAUUGCAUCUGACGUGAAAGUUGUAGAUUAUCUGAAAGAACGCGUGAAUUUGAUGAAAAGAACUAUAAGAGAAGGACUUCAAACGGCACUGAUGAAGCACUUUUGGGGGUUCAACAGCUGAACUGAUUGUUGUGAAGCUUUUAUUGGCCUAUUUCCCAUCACUUGAAAGAAUCCAUGGUAUUAAUGUCCCAUGGAUUCUCAUAGCAUGUUUUGCUUUAAUGCGAUGAAAUUUUAGCCUUAUCCUGUGCUAAAUAGAGCCUGGCACCUUGUGAUAAGUUCUAGGCAGGUGCAUAGUCCUCUAGCUAUCACCCAUCUAGAACAUUUAUACUCUGCAUGGACAGGGUUCUAUUAACCUUUGCAAAGCAAACCCUUAAUAUGCUUGAAUACAUUGAACUGCCUUUAUCCAAUUGGAAAGUGUACGUGUGUGCCUUUUUUUCAUUGUAUUCACCUGUGGUGCUUGUCGUCUUCUGUAAUCUUACUGUUCUUAUUUUUCUUGAUGAUCUUUAUGAGUUUGGUAAUACUCAUGGCUUGGGCAGAAUCCCUUAACUUUGCCUCACCAUUCAUGCUCUUCUCUAAAUUUGUGCUUUUGUAACCUUAACUUUUCGAUGCCAAUGAAAAAGUUGAUUUCUCUCUUACUAAUAAGAACAUGAUUGCACUCUACCAUGCUCUUUACUGAAAAUUGAGUGGGAUUCGAAGUUGACAGUAACUUUAUUUGAUGGGUCAAGACCUGAUUUUAUUCAAGAUUUUUGGGUGUGGUUAUGUCAAGGACUACCAAUAUGCAAGUGAGCCCUUACUCUUAUGUUUUUGGAUAAACUUAUGCAUACAGUUGAUGUAUCUAACUCAACACUAUCUUUUGUGGCAGGCAAGGUUUUUGUCCAUGUGGCUUCAGCACCUGAUUGUGUCUAAAUCAGAUCUAUAAUCCAUUAUGGCUUCUGAGAUGGUCAAUGAUUACUGCAAUACCAUUUUUGCCAAAUCUUUCAGUUGCCUUUAUUCAUAUUUAUUCACAAUAUUUUAUUGCAUUGUACUUAUUCUGUCAAGUUCUUUCUGUGUCUGCACAACGUUGAUUGUUUCAGUACCUAUUUGCAAAGUUUAUGGCUAUCAAUGGUUGGCCCGGAAAAUUAAGCUAAUAGAUGACGGUAAAAAAAAAAGAAAAAAGGAAAAGAAAAUUUUCUCAAUUUGCCAUGUUCAUAUUGCUCCAGUUGAGUGCUUUUGAUAGCUUUAUUUUGCAUAAUUUGCAGUUAAAACUGCCUGCUUUCUUGUAUGAAUUUAUGCUCUUUUUUUUCCAGGUUUUCUUCGGCUAAAUUGUUUGUCUAUUUUCUGGUACUUUGCUGAUAAGAUCAUUCAAGAACACGGUACGGUAUCGUUUAUCCAUAUGAUGGGGACUUUCUAAUUCCUUAGGAACUCAGACUGAUACUUACAGUUUAUGGAUUAUUGUGUUGUGCUUGCUGUUGUAUUAUGCAGGUGUUGUGCUGUCACUAUAAUUGUCAAUUAUCAUGUUGGUUUGGCAUUCUGAUCUGAUAUAAAGUUCAGAUGCUUUAGAAAUAUGUUGCUUAUUUAUGGCACAUGUAUAGCAGGAAAGGGAUGUAUCCUUUGGUCAUGUGAACCAAUAUUCUUUCCAUCUUUAGUUCCUUUCUUGAAACAGUCAUUGAAAGUACCCUCUUUCUUCCAUUUCUAAUUGGUUCUUGCAGCUGUUACACCAAGGAUUCUUGAAGACCGCUUUCUUGUGGGAAGAUUGGCCUUGAUCUUUUCUAGUUCCUAUGGGUAGCAUAUGUCAUUUACACGUUAACUAUGUUACUUAGCAAUAAUUAUUACUCUUUCCUUGAGAACUUUUGCCUUUGGCAUGAGAAGUUUAUUAGUUAGUUUGAUGA